UGGAGCAUGUGGUUUAAUUCGAAGCAACGCGAAGAACCUUACCAGGUCUUGACAUCCCGAUGCUAUUUCUAGAGAUAGAAAGUUACUUCGGUACAUCGGUGACAGGUGGUGCAUGGUUGUCGUCAGCUCGUGUCGUGAGAUGUUGGGUUAAGUCCCGCAACGAGCGCAACCCCUAUUGUUAGUUGCCAUCAUUCAGUUGGGCACUCUAGCGAGACUGCCGGUAAUAAACCGGAGGAAGGUGGGAUGACGUCAAAUCAUCAUGCCCCUUAUGACCUGGGCUACACACGUGCUACAAUGGUUGGUACAACGAGUUGCGAGUCGGUGACGGCGAGCUAAUCUCUUAAAGCCAAUCUCAGUUCGGAUUGCAGGCUGCAACUCGCCUACAUGAAGUCGGAAUCGCUAGUAAUCGCGGAUCAGCACGCCGCGGUGAAUACGUUCCCGGGCCUU
rnacentral:rRNA from 1 species